AUUCAUGGAGAGGGGCCAUGAUUCUGCUGUGCUUGAGCAGAGAGAUCUCCUUGCCAGAGCCUCACCCAAGAGAAAGAGGUGGGUACCUGCAUGCCCCCAGGUGCCUACCCUGGGAGGUGGGCUCAGAAGUUAGAGAGCAAGGGCACAGAGUCACCAAAACCUGUCCCAACAAUCCCCAGACAAUAUGCUUCCUGCUGAGUCCAUUUUAAAUCACAC
rnacentral:lncRNA from 1 species